rnacentral:rRNA from 1 species
UACGUAGGGUGCGAGCGUUGUCCGGAAUUACUGGGCGUAAAGAGCUCGUAGGUGGUUUGUCGACGUUGUUCGUGAAAACUCACAGCUCAACUGUGGGCGUGCGGGCGAUACGGGCAGACUAGAGUACUGCAGGGGAGACUGGAAUUCCUGGUGUAGCGGUGGAAUGCGCAGAUAUCAGGAGGAACACCGGUGGCGAAGGCGGGUCUCUGGGCAGUAACUGACGCUGAGGAGCGAAAAGCGUGGGGAGCGAACAGG